AUGCAAGUCGAGCGGAACGAGUUAACUGACCCUUCGGGUGACGUUAGCGGCGUCCAGCGGCGGACGGGUGAGUAAUGCCUGGGAAAUUGCCCUGAUGUGGGGGAUAACCAUUGGAAACGAUGGCUAAUGCCGCAUAAUGCCUUCGGGCCAAAGAGGGGGACCUUCGGGCCUCUCGCGUCAGGAUAUGCCCAGGUGGGAUUAGCUAGUUGGUGAGGUAAUGGCUCACCAAGGCGACGAUCCCUAGCUGGUCUGAGAGGACGAUCAGCCACACUGGAACUGAGACACGGUCCAGACUCCUACGGGAGGCAGCAGUGGGGAAUAUUGCACAAUGGGCGCAAGCCUGAUGCAGCCAUGCCGCGUGUGUGAAGAAGGCCUUCGGGUUGUAAAGCACUUUCAGCAGUGAGGAAGGCGGGUACGUUAAUAGCGUAUUCGUUUGACGUUAGCUGCAGAAGAAGCACCGGCUAACUCCGUGCCAGCAGCCGCGGUAAUACGGAGGGUGCGAGCGUUAAUCGGAAUUACUGGGCGUAAAGCGCAUGCAGGUGGUUCGUUAAGUCAGAUGUGAAAGCCCCGGGGCUCAACCUCGGAAACUGCAUUUGAAAACUGGCGGACUAGAGUACUGUAGAAGGGGGGUAGAAUUUCAGGUGUACCGGUGAAAAUGCGUAAGAAUCUGAAGGAAAUACCGGGUGGCAAAAGCCGGCCCCCCUUGCACC
rnacentral:rRNA from 1 species